rnacentral:rRNA from 1 species
GACGAACGCUGGCGGCGUGCCUAAUACAUGCAAGUAGAACGCUGAAGGAGGAGCUUGCUCUUCUGGAUGAGUUGCGAACGGGUGAGUAACGCGUAGGUAACCUGCCUGGUAGCGGGGGUUAACUAUUGGAAACGAUAGCUAAUACCGCAUAACAGUAGAUGUUGCAUGACAUUUACUUAAAAGAUGCAAUUGCAUCACUACCAGAUGGACCUGCGUUGUAUUAGCUAGUUGGUGGGGUAACGGCUCACCAAGGCGACGAUACAUAGCCGACCUGAGAGGGGGAUCGGCCACACUGGGACUGAGACACGGCCCAGACUCCUACGGGAGGCAGCAGUAGGGAAUCUUCGGCAAUGGACGGAAGUCUGACCGAGCAACGCCGCGUGAGUGAAGAAGGUUUUCGGAUCGUAAAGCUCUGUUGUAAGAGAAGAACGAGUGUGAGAGUGGAAAGUUCACACUGUGACGGUAUCUUACCAGAAAGGGACGGCUAACUACGUG